rnacentral:rRNA from 1 species
GACGUAGGGCGCGAGCGUUGUCCGGAUUUAUUGGGCGUAAAGAGCUCGUAGGCGGCUUGUCGCGUCGAAAUGUGGAAAUCCCGAGGCUCAACUUCGGGCUUGCAUUCGAUACGGGCAGGCUAGAGUCCGGAAGAGGCGAGUGGAAUUCCUGGUGUAGCGGUGAAAUGACGCAGAUAUCAGGAGGAACACCAAUGGGCGAAGGCAGCUCGCUGGGACGGUACUGACGCUGAGGCACGAAAGCGUGGGGAGCAAACAGG